CGCGCAGGCGGGCUUGUAAGUCAGUGGUGAAAUACUGCCGCUUAACGGUAGAACUGCCAUUGAUACUGCGAGUCUUGAAUAUGGUUGAGGUAGGCGGAAUGUGUUGUGUAGCGGUGAAAUGCAUAGAUAUGACACAGAACGCCGAUUGCGAAGGCAGCUUACUAAGCCAUUAUUGACGCUGAGGCACGAAAGCGUGGGGAGCGAACAGGAUUAGAUACCCUGGUAGUCC
rnacentral:rRNA from 1 species